rnacentral:tRNA from 1 species
ACAGUGGUGAUUCAAUGGUAAAAUUCUUGCCUGCCAUACUAAAGAUCCAGGUUCAGAUCCUGGCCAAUGUU